CGGCAACAUUUCUAAUUUCCGUUUAAGGGUUUCAUAUAAUAUUUAUAUUUUAUUUCAGCUUUAUUUCAGUUCAUGAAAAUAGCUUUAGUAGCUUUAGUUUACAAAAGCAGCACUAACUGCAAAAUAAUUUUGAAUAUCAUCACUGAUAGAUUUUCUGAUUGGUACAGGUCGCACUCUGUCAACUGGGGGUGGAGCUCCAUUUAGAGCUUUUCCUAAAUCACUGAGUUUGGAUUUUGGGGGUCUAAGCCACGCCCACAACACUCUAAGUUCUGCUGCUCCACCCCCUGUCACUCAGGAUAAGUAUGAAGCCUUAUCACAGCUUGAUAAAGUGUUGUCAGACAACACACCUGUCACAGCCAUUACAACAGCUCCAUCUGAAGGACCCCCUCAGUAUAGCACCCUCUUUAGUAACCGACUGUCCUCCAGUUCCACCCCUGCAAGCUCUCCAGGUGUUCCAGAGGCCACCUCUGGAUCUCAGACAUUUGCAUAUUUUCCAAACCCGUUCAAUUCUACAGCCAGUUGCACCCAGCCUGUUCUGUCUCCUAGUAACCCCUUCAAAAGCACAGCCUCAGAUGAUGCCUCCUCCUCAGCCGUCUUUCCUCAGUCUGUCUCUUUUCCUGCACCUGCCACCCAAAGUGCUUUUUCACACCAACAGUCUAGUAACCAGGAAGCAAACGGUUUCAACUCAUUUCCUGCCCCCGAGUCUGUACCUAAAGUCCCACGACCAAUGUCUGUCAACCCUUUUACUGGGAAUGUUUACCCGAGCAGAGGAGCAUCACUGAACCCUUUCAUCUGAACCACCUCGGCCAUGGAGAAAGAGGAGAGCGAGUGGAGCUUGUUUACUUUACCAUACCUACAGAAAACACCCAACACUUUUGUGUGCAUCUUCAUGUAUGUUUAAAGGUGUGUGCGUUUGUUAACAGAUAUUGUACAUGUAACUAUUUGUACAUGCUUUGUUGUAUGUGUGGAUGCGAGUGUGUUUGUACGUGACCUUUUGUACCAGAUGCUAUAAAUUAAGCUUUGAGUGUGUGUGUGUGUUUGUGUACAUUUGCAUGGGUUUUGCCUAAUAUCAGAGGAAUUUUUCUGAUAAUAGGAGAACUUCAGAUGAAAGGUGCUUAUGGGAGCCAUUCACUCACAAACACACACACAAGCUGCUGCUUUGACCUUUCCACACAUUAGAACUUCUCGUGCCAAUAUCACUCUAACCUGAGUGCCCACUUACUUCACUCAAACACUGAGGUCGACACAUUAUAAUAAAAUAGUAGCAAUUCAAGCUUCAGAUCAUCUCAGUAAUGCAUUUCUCCUCAGUGGCGAUUUGGUUUAUUUGAUUCAGAUGCAUGUUUUAAAAAACGGCAUAAACAAAACAGGCAUUUCCAUCACUUUUCUGUCUGUGUAUGUAUGCCGGGCUUGUUUCUAUUUAUUUUGACAUUGACGUUUCAUUUCAAACGUUAAUAAGUAUUUGUGUGUGCAUUGUUGAACUGCAUGCGCUUCUCAAGCUGAGCAGGAAGCUGCUGAAUGUACUGCAGUUUCAGUUAUUAUGAGGGAAAAAAACAUUUUUUGUAUGGACCAAAAAUUGUCUAAUAUCGUCAGGUUUUCUGUAUAAUGUAGAGAUGACUUCUUUUGCAAAAGGAUUCAUAUAGAAUGUCUUUGUAUCCAGAUGUAUCCAUAUGCAUAAAGCUGUCCAUAACUGUUGUGUCAUAUGGUUUAUGUGAUGCAAAUCAAACUGAAUUGGCUGCUUUUGGAAUUUCAUGCAAUAUCUUUUUACGACAGCAUCAUUUAUAUUUUUCUGUGAAGAUCAUUAUUGCAUUUUGAAUGUAUUUGCACUCUAUGAAAAUUAGGGCUUUCAACUGAAAAUUAAAAUGAAAAGUAUAAAUUUCACCUCGCACUUGACCUAGUCUCAUUUUUAUGAUCGGGUGUUUGCGGUUCAAUAAAGUUAUAGUUGAAAUAGCCAUGCCCAUUUAUAUAUGUACUUCUAAGUAUUACUUUGGCGAACCACUGCAUCUUCUAAAAAUGCACACAUCGCCAUAUAUAUUAAUAUAAUUUUUAUUUAAUUUUGUCCACGUUGUCAAAUACUCAGCUGCAAUGGACCAAUUAGUUCACUAGGGGUCGCAAGUAAUCUGAUUUGAAUACGAGUAAACGAGUAUUCAAAGUAUUUCAUAAAGAAUUUGAAGAUUUCAUUUGUUUAUUUUUUUCUUUUCUUUAUUUUUAUUUAUAAUGUACAUCUGCAUUACUGACUUAUUCAUACUGUACAGCCAAACCCU
ensembl:lncRNA